rnacentral:rRNA from 1 species
GACAGAGGUGCCAAGCGUUAGGCGGAAUCACUGGGCUUAAAGCGCGUGUAGGCGGGACGGCACGUCGGUCGCUGAAAGCCCCCGGCUCAACCGGGGAACGGGCGCCGAUACGACCGGCCUGGAGGGACGUAGGGGGACCUGGAACUUCCGGUGGAGCGGUGAAAUGCGUAGAUAUCAGGAGGAACACCUGCGGUGUAGACGGCUUUCUGGACCAUUGCUGACGCUGAGACACGAAAGCGUGGGUAGCAAACAGG